rnacentral:sRNA from 1 species
UUGACAGCCUUGGAGACCGAAGUCCUGCAUUUAACCACAGAACAGGUACAACAAACUACUGGUGACAAGUUUGUCCACGCCUAAUAUCUUGAUAUGGAAAGUAUUCCAAAGAGGAGUUCUGUACCCAUCGCCUUGCCGGCUAACAAAAUU